GCAUUCCUAGAUCCCUCAGCUCUACAAUACUCCCCAGAGACCAGCCAUUAAUUGUGAAGAUUCUGUCCUGGUUUUACUUCAUGAAAUGCAAUAUCUUGCAUAUAUCUGCAUUAAUUUCCAUUAACCAUUCCUCAGCCCAUUAGCCCAACUGAUCAAGACCUUGCUGUAAUUUUCUGA